rnacentral:ncRNA from 1 species
CAAAGGUUUGGUCCUGGCCUUAUUAUUAGUUGUAGGUAGACUUACACAUGCCAGACUCCACGCUCCGGUGUAAAAUCCCUUAGAAUCUAUUCUUUAGACAAAAAGGAGAGGGUAUCAAGCACACUAAUAGUUGCUAAAGACACCUUGCCUAGCCACACCCCCACGGGUUACAGCAGUGAUAAAAAUUAAGCAAUAAACGAAAGUUUGACUUAGUCAUACCCUUUUACCGGGUUGGUAAAUAUCGUGCCAGCCACCGCGGUCAUACGAUAAACCCAUACUAAUAAUCAUACGGCGUAGGGAGUGUAAAAAGACUAAAAAUUAAUAGGAUAGAAAACGGCCCCUUAAGUAAAAUUUCAUGACCCUUAUAAUAAUCAAUGACGAAAGUAUUCCUAAUAAGCUUGAUACACGAAAGCUAAGAUCCAAACUGGGAUUAGAUACCCCACUAUGCUUAGCCAUAAACCUAGGUAAUUCUUUUAACAAAAUAACUCGCCAGGGAACUACUAGCAAUUGCUUAAAACUCAAAGGACUUGGCGGUACUUUACAUCUGUCUAGAGGAGCCUGUUAAAUAAUCGAUAAACCCCGUUAUACCUUACCAUCUCUUGCUAAUUCAGCCUAUAUACCGCCAUCUUCAGCAAACCCUGUUAAGGAACAAUAGUAAGCAAAAUGAUUACCAAUAAAUACGUAAGGUCAAGGUGUAGCCUAUGAGGUGGACAACAAUGGGCUACAUUUUCUCCCCAAGAACACACGGAACCUUUUUUGAAAAAAAAAGGCAAAGGAGGAUUUAGUAGUAAAUUAAGAAUAGAGUGCUUAAUUGAACAUAGCAAUGAAGUACGUACACACCGCCCGUCACUCUCCUCAAGUAUUAAACUUUUUUCCCCUACCUAAAAAUAACAAAGAAACAUAUUAGAGGAGACAAGUCGUAACAUGGUAAGCAUACUGGAAAGUGUGCUUAGGAAAAA